rnacentral:rRNA from 1 species
AGAAAAGCAGGGGAUCGCAAGACCUUGCGCUUUUGGAGCGGCCGAUGUCUGAUUAGCUAGUUGGUGAGGUAAAGGCUUACCAAGGCUUCGAUCAGUAGCUGGUCUGAGAGGACGACCAGCCACACUGGGACUGAGACACGGCCCAGACUCCUACGGGAGGCAGCAGUGGGGAAUUUUGGACAAUGGGGGCAACCCUGAUCCAGCCAUGCCGCGUGAGUGAAGAAGGCCUUCGGGUUGUAAGGCUCUUUCAGCCGGAACGAAAAGGUUACGGUUAAUACCCGUGACUAAUGACGGUACCGGAAGAAGAAGCACCGGCUAACUACGUGCCAGCAGCCGCGGUAAUACGUAGGGUGCGAGCGUUAAUCGGAAUUACUGGGCGUAAAGCGUGCGCAGGCGGUUUUGUAAGUCAGAUGUGAAAUCCCCGGGCUUAACCUGGGAACUGCGUUUGAAACUACAAGGCU